rnacentral:lncRNA from 1 species
UGAUGCUAGAUUAUGAGGGAGUUUCACCUAAUAGUUACAAUCUUAUAAUCACAAGUAGUGAAGAUCGCUUUAAAACGAUCGCGUUGAAUGAAUUCUUAGCAUAAGUUUCAUGCAAUUCAUAGUAACGAAUGCUUCGUCAAUGCUUAUGUUUUUCAUAGAACGUAAUGAUUCUUGCUUGUAUCUCUAUUAUGCAAUUCAUGUAGGGAACUCGUAGGGAAUGUUUUAGGUUGUCGUAUGCAAUCAUCCAACUUAAUAACUUGUGGAAAAACUGAGAGUUAAUUAGUGCAAUUCACGGUUAAUUUGGGGCGUUGAGUAUUCAUAGUUUAUCGGAAGAACAACUGAAAAUCGUUUUGUUUGCAAGUGUGACAUGUGUGGAGAAGAACCUCUUAACUAGCCUUUUAUCCAUCUAGUUCACCAAAAAUCGUUUUUACAAUCUGUGCUAGUUAAAGUUUCUGUUUUGUGUUAAAUUUUCGUCCAAAACAAAUCCCCUUUUAUUUGAAGCCUUAGAUUAGUUAGAAAGUGUUUUGAUUUGUGUUUCUAAGUACUUUGAUUCAAGUUUUCAUCAAAUUUCGUCCAAAUUAGUGUAGGUGCUCAAAACUGCCCAAAAAGUGGUUUUUAGGCAGUUUUGAGCCUUCUAGUUGCUGUUUUGAGUUUUAGGUUUGUUUAAGUGUUUUAACCUUUACUUUUGCAUUCUUUGAGUCUAGUUUAGUGUUUUAAACUUUGUUUUUGAGUUUUUAAGUCAGUUUCCAAGUGUUUAGCAAUCCCUCCUAAUCCCCGGUUUAGAACGAUCCCUACUUACAUCUUUGCUACAAUUUGACAAAAAGAGGGUUUAAUUUGUGUGCUUAUCUAUUUUGCAUCACCAAAGUUUCCUACUUUGGUUUGAUUUUUCCUAAAUGUCCCUAAAAGUUCCAGCAAUUAUGAAGACUUCCUAAGCAUUCUAGGACAUGAAAUACACAUCUCUUGCACCUUUUAAACCCUAGCCGAAUUUCCCUUGCCCUUUCCUUUAAUUUUCUGAUUUUGUUUCCUAUUUCUAGAAGCUUUUGACUUAAAUUUCUGUUUACCUAAUUAGCCUAGGGUUUUUAAUUUCCUAAUCCCUUUAAAUAAACAUGUUUGUGCAGCCACAAACAUACCCAUUCACGCCAGAAACUGAACACCACCUUCAACAGCCCCAUUCCUUCACCAUUCACCAUAUUUUCUGACCCAAAACCACCCUAGCCGCACCACCCAUCAACCCUAAACACUUCCAUACGUCUUCCAUCCAUUCUACAUCAUUCAAUUACCCAAGAAACCACCAACAUCCAAUCUGCCGCAAGCAAGGAAAGGGGACAGAUUCACUCAAUUGUUUGGCUCU